rnacentral:rRNA from 1 species
GACGAACGCUGGCGGCGUGCCUAAUACAUGCAAGUCGAGCGGAAUGAAGAAGAAGCUUGCUUCUUCUGAUUUUUAGCGGCGGACGGGUGAGUAACACGUGGGCAACCUACCUUGUAGAUUGGGAUAACUCCGGGAAACCGGGGCUAAUACCGAAUAAUCCAUUUUGCUUCAUGGCGAGAUGUUAAAAGGCGGCUUCGGCUGUCACUACGAGAUGGGCCCGCGGCGCAUUAGCUAGUUGGUAGGGUAAUGGCCUACCAAGGCGACGAUGCGUAGCCGACCUGAGGGGGUGAUCGGCCACACUGGGACUGAGACACGGCCCAGACUCCUACGGGAGGCAGCAGUAGGGAAUCUUCCACAAUGGACGAAAGUCUGAUGGAGCAACGCCGCGUGAGUGAAGAAGGUUUUCGGAUCGUAAAACUCUGUUGUAAGGGAAGAACACGUACGAGAGUAACUGCUCGUACCUUGACGGUACCUUAUUAGAAAGCCACGGCUAACUACGUG